rnacentral:sRNA from 1 species
GGGGGUGAAAGGCUUCGACCCAGAUAAGCAAGGCAAGGGAAGCAUGUAGAGGUUGCCGGGAGGCCUCUUAAAACACCUGGCAAAACACCAAAUGCUGACAACAUAAAAGUGCCAGCAACGGUUGACCAGCUUCUGGCCACCAUGCAAGUGGUGCCGGGGACUGUUCUGCCGGUAGCGUUACCUUUAUAAGGUAACCCGUCAACUGGCCCAUCCUGCGGGGCCAGACCUGGCGUCGAUAGCAGGAUGGUCCGUUUCGCAUAUCCUUUUGCGGAUCGGAUAAGAUUUUAAAGGAUACCCUUUUGAAAUUCCGCCUAUUGAAGUUCAGAAGGGGAAAUCAAAGAUUAGGAUAAACAUGUAGAUGCUUUUGUUUUGAUGUUUGGGGACGCGAGUUCGAAUCUCGCCACCUCCACCA